CCCUUAGAUGUUCUGGGCCGCACGCGCGCUACACUGAUGCAUUCAACGAGUUUCUUCCUGGUCCGAGAGGAAUGGGUAGCCUUUUGAAAGUGCAUCGUGAUAGGGAUAGACUAUUGCAAUUAUUGGUCUUCAACGAGGAAUUCCUAGUAGACGUAGUUCAUCAGACUGCAUCGAUUACGUCCCUGCCCUUUGUACGCACCGCCCGUCGCUCCUACCGAUUGAAUGCUCAGGUGAGCCAUUCGGACUUUCAUCAUGCUGGUUUCCAGUUUUGAUGAAGGAAAGUCUUGCGAACCUUAUCAUUUAGAGGAAGGAGAAGUCGUAACA
rnacentral:rRNA from 1 species